GGAAGCUGAAUUAGUGAGGAUGACUCCUGCUCCUGUCAUCUCUAAGCUCCUCACACAUCUUUACCUGCACAUGAGGAAAAUCACUCCUGUAGAAUGCAGUGGUUCAUCAGAACCUCUGGGGAUGUCCUGUGGAUUCUGUGGAUCCUGUGGGUUGCAGGGUGGGUCCUACCUAGACCAGGCUGAUCCUGGACCAUCCCACAGAUGCUCAGUCAGAUCUGGAUGUGGGGAGUGUGGAACCCAGAUGUUCAGAGGGAGAUGAUGCCACAUCUGGUCCAGCUGAUGGAAGGUCUUGAAGUUCUCUGACUGGCCUCGACUGAAGAUGGUCGUCUCACUGGAUUUAAGGUUCAGAUGCUCAGUAACAAACUCCACCAAUGAGCCAACAGGGAAGCUUUAGGUUUAUUAAAUGUUGCUAUGAAGGUUUCGCUGUUUUUCUUUGUGAAUGCAAUGUGCUGCAACUGAAAGUUGAAUUAGAACUUAGAAGUAAAUCCUUCUAUCUGAAAGGAUUUAGUUGCAUUAAUAACCUCAUAACAUUCUAAUUUUUAUUCCAGUCUUGGUUGGAAAUAGAAUCUCUGUAUUGAUUCAGGUAAAAACUGAACUUCACAGCAUGUUGGAGCAAAACAACCAGAUGAAAACUGUGAUGGUGUUGGAUUGUCAGACCGUAAUGUUGCAGCUCAAAGCAGCUUUUCUAGCUCAGUUCAUUCUGACAUUCAGCUAUGAAUCAACACAGCAGAUGGUGAUCCAUGCUGUGGAAGUCUCACAUCUCCUGAUUUAAUGGAGCUGCUUUAUACUUUUUACACUAUUUAUUCACCAACACUUUAUUUAAUAAAAGUCCCAUCUAGUUUUCAUGAGGAAUGUGAUGUUUUAAUUUCUCUGUGAAUAACUGCAGUCUAAUGCAACAGCUGGAGUUGUAACAUCUGUCCUGAUAUUGAUCAUGAAGUAUUGAUCAGAAUACUUAUGGUCAGCAGUCAUCCCUGAAGUUUUACAUUAAAAUCUUUACUUGUGUUGUGAACUUUGGUAAGAAGCAGAAACUUUAGCGUUGCCAUGGAUACAUGAGUGUUAAAUUCUGUCCAUGUUUCCAUUUUGGGAAAUGCAGUCCAGUUCCAGAAUGUGGAGGAAUUUAGUCUCACAAUCACAGACAACAAAUAUUAUCUGAAAGUCGGGUUAUUGUUGUUUAUCAGCACAAUACAAAAAGAUUAAUGUUAGAAAUAUUCCAGUUAAGACUCUAGAAUAUCAUGAUUUAUGUAAAUUUACCUCAAUAAUAUGAAUGUUCAGGUUAAGAUUGUACAGUGAUAUUUAUUAUGUAAGUUUAGCUGAUUAAAGUUUAUGACUCUGCACUAAAAUAUUAUUUAAAUUGACAUAAUUAUUAUAAUAUUUAGGGUCAGACCCUACAGUAUUGAGAUUAAGGAAUCAAAUAUUCUAUAAAAUGUAAAUACACUGAACUCAUUUGGAUAUAUUUAAGUGAGACUCUACAAUAUUAUUUAUGACACAAAUCUAUCUAAAUCAAAAUUUUAAUAAUUUUCACGCCAAACAUUUACUGGACUGAUUUAAACAUUAAAAUCACUCCUUUCUAAUCCUCUGCUGUACGUUCAAACCUGAGGCCUUAAAUAGAAACACACAAGUAUCUGAUUGAAGGAACUUCUGCAGAGUCCUGGUUCCAGAACAUGAUGAUAGAAUUAUAGACAAACUUUAACAAAAACUGCCUGAGAGUUUACAGGUUUUUAUGCUGGAUUUCUUCAGUAAUUUAAUGAGAGUUAUCAGUCAUAAUCAAGUGUUCAUUUGAUGAACUUCAUUUCCUAAAACAUCCAGAAUUGGAGCUCAUAUCUUUGGCAGCUGUAAAGUUUCUGCUCCUUCAAAGUUCACAACACAAUGAAUGAAUUCCUGAAACACUCUCAAUGCUGGAGAGCGUUUGAUGCUGAAGCAGUGAUCAGUUUUUCUGUUUCUUCUCUGGAGAUGCACAAUGAGGGACGUCUGCAGAGACUGAGAAAGAGUCUCACCACAUCCUGACAUGAGGAAAAAGACUUUAUUGAAGAUUACAAUGAGAAAAACUAUCAGCAGACGACUGCAUUCAAGUCUGUAGCUGCUGAAUUCAUGGAUGAAUCAUCUGGCACUAGAGAAGAAGACCAUCAAACAUCCACGUCAGCUGAUGGAGGUCCAAGAGUCUCACCGAACAAACAACCUACAGAGUGAAGACCUCGAAUCUGAUUGGACGGCCUCCUAUUCAGCCACAUGUGUGAACAAAUGCCUCUAAGUUGAUUUGCUUUCUAAAAUAAAUCUAGUUUGAGUUCUAA